UGAGGAAUAUUGGUCAAUGGACGAGAGUCUGAACCAGCCAAGUAGCGUGCAGGAUGACGGCCCUAUGGGUUGUAAACUGCUUUUAUGUGGGAAUAAAUAAGAUUACGUGUAAUCUGUUGCAUGUACCACAUGAAUAAGGACCGGCUAAUUCCGUGCCAGCAGCCGCGGUAAUACGGAAGGUCCGGGCGUUAUCCGGAUUUAUUGGGUUUAAAGGGAGCGUAGGCGGUCUGUUAAGCGUGUUGUGAAAUGUAACGGCUCAACCGUUGACUUGCAGCGCGAACUGGCAGUCUUGAGUGCGCAGGAAGUAGGCGGAAUUCGUGGUGUAGCGGUGAAAUGCUUAGAUAUCACGAAGAACUCCGAUUGCGAAGGCAGCUUACUGUAGCGUAACUGACGCUGAAGCUCGAAAGUGCGGGUAUCGAACAGG
rnacentral:rRNA from 1 species